ensembl:lncRNA
GUUAAACGGAUGCUUGGAAGUAAACGGAAGCGUCAUCUCCAAGAUGGAGCUAAACGCUGCAAAGUAAGUCAGGAGUCAUGAAGCAGCUUGGCUGAUUUUUGGAUUCUCUACUGAUUGUGUUUCUGCCGCAGGAGCAAACGCAGCCUCCAGAAACGACUGUGGAAAAGACUGCAAUGGGACAAAGUAUGACACACAAGAAGCUGCUUGCUGUGGAAACAAACUUUACCCAGGGGCGAGUCUGUCUUGUUGUGGAAAGGAACCUUACAAUCCUGAAAAAGCAACCUGUUGCAAAGUACAAGACGGAAACACUCUCAGAGCCAAUGUUACUCAUGGUCUGAGUGAAAAGGUGUCCAACUGCUGUGGGCUGAAGCCCUACAACCCUGUCAAUGAAGUAUGCUGUCAAUCAACCAUCACUGCAAAACCUGGACUAAUGGCUGAAUGUUGCGGUAAAGAGGCUUUUGCCAAGGACAAGCAAUUGUGUUGCGGUGCAAGUGAUAAUAAGAAGAUUCUGGUGAGAAAUUCCAGUUUCCACCGGUGCUGCGGGCACAACCAGUAUGAUAACAGGACUCAGUGCUGCUGUGAGAAUGAAGGUGUUCUGGAGGUACAACCGAAGGAUUCAUCUUGCUGUGACAAGAGCUCCACUACAGGAGUGCAUAAUGUAGGAAUUCUGCAUUGUGGUCCGAAUGAUAAUAAGAAGAGUCUGGUGAAGAAUUCCACUUUCCACCAGUGCUGCGGUCACAACCAGUAUGACAACAGGACUCAGUGCUGCUGUGUGAAUGAAGGUGUUCUGGAGGUACAACCGAAGCAUUCAUCUUGCUGUGACAAGAGCUCCACUACAGGAGUGCAAAAUGUGGGAAUUCUGCAUUGUGGUCCGAAUGAUAAUAAGAAGAGUCUGGUGAGGAAUUCCACUUUCCACCAGUGCUGCGGUCACCACCAGUAUGACAACAGGACUCAGUGCUGCUGUGAGAAUGAAGGUUUUCUGGAGGUACAACCGAAGCAUUCAUCUUGCUGUGCAAAGGAGUCAGCUAACCCUGAAGGUUUUCAACAACUGACACAUGAGCUCCAACACUUUUGCACUGAACCAAACACACAUCUCUGUGGGUCGACAUGUUACAAUCCAAAGACGCAUCGUUGCUGUGAGAGACACCAAAAGCCUUUUUGGUUCUGCGCCUCAGGUCAAAGCAAGGCCAGGGUGUAUGACCCACGUAUAGAAGUCUGCCGUGAUGGAUCCGUAUUUCAAUGCAAGCCGUGGCUAGAUCAAUUUUAUGGCAGCCCGGGACAACACUGCUGUGGGACGGAAAUUUACCGGCCUCGUACUGAGAUCUGCUGCAAUGGACACAGACACCCCAAAUCAGAAAACCUUCACUGCUGUGGGGUCAAAGCCUACAACAUUAAAGACCCACAGAUGAAGUGCUGUGCAGGAACACUGUACAAUCUGACAUCAUUAGACAAGCAUGGAGGGGACGCUCAGUGCUGCGGAUCCAUCCUGCAAAAGCCACAGGAUAUUUGCUGCUCAAGCCAGGAAAAAGAGGUGCUUUACUCUGUCAAGACAGGAUUUGGAUGCUGUGGUCACCUCUAUUACAACACCAGCCUGUGCUCAUGCUGUGCGGAGAGGCUGAGAAGAAUCCAUGAACCAGGAAAGGAUCAGAGAAACAUGAUGCAUGGAUCCAGACUUCUAUCUUUGAAUAAUCUAAACACAAGUGAUCUCUGCAAAGAAAUGUACAUUGGGACUGUGGAAAGUGUGUCUGUGAAGAGCGUUGUGUUCAGGAAUGUGCUAUGGGUUCAUGGGAAAUAUUCCAACGUGACAGCUCUGCCUUUGCAUCACAUCUUGGACAUAGAUGAUCACUGCAAAUCACCUAAACUGUUUCUUGGGAAGACCUACAUCUUUAACAACGUUAAUAUUUUCACUGAUUUCAACCAUGACUCUGUUCUUCAGUCGCUCCAUUUCAUUUUUUAUAAAUGUUCAUCUUAGAUCACCACUGUCUGAUCUAUGUAUGGUCAGUUAUUAGCUAUUCCCUUGUUUUUGUCUUAGAACAAGUAAUUAAUUUUUAUUUACUCAGUGCUGGUUUUCUUACUCUAAAAUAGUGCUACACUAAGAGUAAUGCAUAGGGGUUUUUUAUCCUCAGAAGAAUGUACUGUUAAAGUACUCAUUACAGGGAUGUUCUCUUACAUGGUCUAUUAACAAUAUAACACUGAACCUUAGAAAUGCCCAUUAAUUUGUAAAACUCUACCCUAAAAGGAAAGACCAUUGAAGCUUAACAUUUGGGCACUUUGCUGGUGUAAGCAUAAAAUCAAAGAACCAGCCAUAUUUCUAUCACACAUUUUAUUUUUACAUUAGUUAUUGUUGUGCAAGCACACAUGAAAAUGUUUUAAAAUGUGAUCUUUUUAAUCUUUUUGUUACCUAAAUAAUUGAAGAACAUGUAACUCAAUUGAAUUAAUUCAUUAACUGAAAUAUGUUUACUCAAUAAUGCAUUAUAGAAAAAAUUAACUUGAUUAGGGAUUGCAUUACUUUUCAACUGUUUAAAUUUAAAAAAUCCAGAAUUAGUUAUUAGUGAUAUUACUUACAAGUUGCUAUCAGUAAUGCAUUAAAUGUUCAACGCUCAUUUCCAUCCAAACCAUGUUGCUCUGUUUUUGAACGCAUCCCAAAAUGUGUGCUCGGUAAUUACUACUGUUACACAGCUAAUUAGUGCACAGUGUUGUUAACUUAUACAUGCAGUAAUGCAAUAUGACCAUUAUCUUUCAAAGUCUUAAAAAGCUAAAGUAGUAACUAGGAUAUCCAAGCUAGUGUUGGUUUGAAAUUAACAGUAGCUAACACCUUAGCUAUCAGUGUAACAGGAAGCAAGGCAUGCAAGAAUGUUAGCAUACAGCUUAACGGUCACAUAAGCUAAACUGCUAUCAGCUAAUAUUGUUUGUCAUUUGAAAUUUUUGUGACUGUUAUUUCUAUGCCUCUUUUUUGCACUGAACUAAAUUGUAAAUGGCAACUAUUUGCACUUUUUGAACCAUACAAUUGAAUGUAUAAAUGUACUGUAAAGCAUGAUUUAUUUGAAAGAUAAAGCUUGUAACUGUCAAAUGGUUAGUUGACAAUACCAUUAUUAUAAGCACCCCAGUUCUCACUGAUCCCUCUAAAAAUGCAAUAUUUCUGUUUCUUUGUAAGUACCUACUUUUAAUCACCUUGACCCAAGUUAUUUUUAUAUAUGUGACUUUCGGGAAGAUGUUUGGCAUUUAUUGUACUGUGUCUUUACUAAAUUGGUAAGAACAUACCUUUAAGCUACUAACAGGACAAGCUCAUGAUAUACAGUAUAUAUAUUAUAUAUUAUAUUGCAUGUUUAUAUUUAAUAUUUAAUAGCACCUCCUGUAUUAUUAAGUUUUAAAUAAAUAAGAAGAUAAGAAUAAUUGAAUGUGUGUGUGAUUUUUUUUAUUACUUUUAUUACUUAUUAUUUUAUUUAUUACUUUAUUACUUUUUAUUACAUAACAAUUUAUUGGACUAUAUAUACAUAACUAUUACUACAUUUUAUAUACACAUUGUUUAUUUGUAUAUUUGUAGAUAUUCAACAGAAUUAGAUAAUAAAUCAAUACUCUGUGCUU